UUGCCAAUGAAGCUGUUUACUGGAUGGAUGAUAAUUUAAAAAUGAUCUGUAGCUUCGAUUUUGUUGAGGAAAAAAUUCGUGAACAUCUUUCACCACCUCCUUUGCCACCAAAUAGUGAUUGGUUUCGCUGUCACAUAGGGGUUUUGGAUGGGUUUCUGUAUUUUACUAGUAAUGUUGAAGAUGACAAACUUCAAUACUUAUGGCUAUUAAAAACGAAGGAUGAUGAUCAUGGCAUCAGAGGGGUUGGAGUAAAGAGUUUAAGAUUGACAAAAGCAGAUUAUUAGCAGUUGUGAAGAGUUAAAGUGCUUUUAACUUACAUUGGUAUCAUCUGGACAGUUAUGGCACAAAAGCUUCAGAAUCAAAAAGGCUUGUGGAACUCAAGAAAAGGAGAUGUUUAGUUAUCCCUCACAAGAACAGCUUAGUUUCAUUGAAAGAAUUAGGGAACAAGAUACAGAAACAAUGGAGUCAGUUGAAGGAGACAUAGAGCCUUGAUCAGUAUCUCAAGCAAAUAUAGAGGAUGGGAACCCUGAAAGCACACUUAUAAACUGGCAUCAGCAUGGUUGAAGCAGAAGGACUUUAUGAAGAUCCAUCGCACGACCAGUUUCGUAAAGUAAUAUGCCGAGCAGGAGUUUAAUGUGAUAAUAAGGCGAUGUACGACACGUUAUUUAGAACCGUUCAUGUCCAUUAUUGCUGUAAGAAAAGAAGGCCAGGAUGUGUUUGUUUCCUGCCUAAAAAUGUCAUUGGAACUCUGGAUUUUCGUGUCAAGUACUUGUUACAGGGGGAGACUUAUCCCGAGGUGCAUGCAUCAUACGCAGUUGGAUAAUUUUCUAAUUUAAGUUAGCAAUUUGAUGUUGAGAAUCACCUAAGAUUUGAAUCCAUUGAUUGCUCAGGAACUUUGGAAGCCUGUGAAUAUGUUUAGCACCUUCAAAAGAAGAGGAUGACAGAAAUAUGGCAUUAUCUCGUACGCUACUGUUACCGAAAUUGCAGGUCAACAAGUUGUUGGAAGCAGCAUGCUGAAGUUUGCAAUUAAAACUGCAAAAGAAGACGGUGUUAGCGGCUUUGUUGGCUCAAGGUUCAAAAUUAUGGAUGUUUGAUGAGGUUCCAAUUGAAGAAAGAGAGAGGAAGCUCAUUGAUGGAGGACUUGAUAUUUCUCGAAUAGCAAACCUAAAUCUUGAAUGCUGUCACAACAUCUGGGGAGUCUUUCUCUAGAGACAUUUGGUUCUGCAGGAUGUUCUGAAUAGGCAUCAAGCAUGGUUGAAAGCAGGAGGAGUUUAUGAAGAUCCAUCACACAGCCAGUUUGUAAAGCAAUACGCCAAGCAGGAGUUUAAUGUGAUAAUAUGGCAAUGUACGACACGUUAUCUAAAAACCGUCCAUGUGCAUUAAUGCUGUAAGAAAGCAAGGUGAGAAUGUGCUUAAUGCCAUGCUUAAAAAGUCUUCGGAACUCUGGAUUUUCGUGUCAAGUACCUGUUACAGGGGGGACUUAUCCUGGGGUGCAUUAUACGUACUUGGAUAAUUUUCUAGUUUAAGUUGGCAAUUUGAUGUUAAGAAUCACCUAAGAUUUGAAUCCAUUGAUUUUCCUGGAACUUCGGAUGCCUAUGAAUGUGUUUAGCACCUUAAAAAAAAGAGGAUCACAGAAUUAUGGCAUAAUCUCGAACGUAACCGAAUUGGCAUGUUAACAAGUUGUUGGAAGCAGCAUGCUGAAGUUUGCAAUUGAAACUGCAAAAGAAGAUGGUAUAAAGCAGGUAUUCUUAAUGUCUGCCGGGAUAACAAACAAACAACAGGUGAAGUUGUUGAACAAAUUGAAUUCGACAAGUUAACCCAUUGCAAAAAUGAUGUUUGGACCUGUCAUACGGCUGAGGAGAACUAUGGUAAAAUGCUUGAACUCCGAGCUGCGCCUACUCCGAAGGUUCAACACCAUUGACCGAUGCUCAAAUAUGUGAGGAAGUGCUAGGUGUAAGAUCCAGUUAUGUUAAGGGUCUUGGUCAUGGGUAUGAAAAACGUAGCUCGUCUAGCAUUGAAUAUAAUGCAGAGUUAGGCGAAGCACUUAGGCGGGCAGAUGAAGCAUAGAAAAGAAAUAAGGAACUUGAAGAAAGAGUUUACGAAACAAAUCGCACAAUACAGGGUCUGGUAACUGACACAAUGGUCAAGCAACCGAGCAACAGAAACUCCAUCGCUCGAUGGUCAAGCAACCGCUUGAUGGUCAUUCCAUCGUUGUCGCUAGUCAAACUGUCGCUCGAUGAUUAGAAAAUCGUUAAACAGAUCUUCAUCCAACAGGUAUUUCCCCCCUCUAUAAAUACCUAAUUUUAAUCUCAUUUCAACUCACACCAGAAUUUCUCAAUCUCUCAAGAAUUUUUCAAUCUCUCUCUAGAAUUUCUCAAUCUCCAAUUUUUUCAUCACUCAUCCAAUUCCUUAGAGAGCAUGGCUGAUAAUAUGAAUCUGGCUGAGUGUAUGGCAAACCAAUGUACUAUCCAAAAUUGAAGAGCCGAUAAUCGUGCAAUCGUAGAAACUAGGAGAAGUCAAAUUAGGAAUGUCAAAUGAGGCGAAACCUAAAAUUCAAAAAUGCGGAAGAUGAAUGUAUUUGCAGGAAUUAUAUUGAUUUUACAAUGGAUCCAACAUUUCAUCACCAACUAUUGUGGAAAAGGAUUUAUGUUAGAUUUCAAGAACAAACAAUGAACCUACGCGGUCGUAGUCUUUCAGAUUUGAUUAACCGCUUCGGUAUAAUUAGGCAGGAAGUUAGUUGUUAUGUUGCUAUACUUCAACGAGAAGGUCCAACCUUGAGAAGUGGUGAAACCUUGAUGGAAUUUCAGGAAAGGUGUCAUGUGGAAUAUCGUCGCAUCUACGGGGAAAAAAUCCAUUUUGAAAAUUGUUUCGAGAUUUUAAGAUGUUCGCCCAACUAUUUUAAGUUGUUUCCAUUUUAAGAUUUUAUGAUGUUGUAAUUUCUCAAUUAUCCACUAUUAAUAUUUGUUUAAGUUUUAAUGAAUUUGCUAUUUUGUUUAAGUUUUAAUAUUUGUAAUAGUUUUAAUAUUUAAGAAUAUAAUUAAUAUUAAUUUUCAAAAA